CCCUGGCUCAGGAUGAACGCAGGCGGCGUGCUUAACACAUGCAAGUCGAACGAUGAUCCCAGCUUGCUGGGGGAUUAGUGGCGAACGGGUGAGUAACACGUGAGUAACCUGCCCUUAACUCUGGGAUAAGCCUGGGAAACUGGGUCUAAUACCGGAUAUGACUCCUCAUCGCAUGGUGGGGGGUGGAAAGCUUUAUUGUGGUUUUGGAUGGACUCGCGGCCUAUCAGCUUGUUGGUGAGGUAAUGGCUCACCAAGGCGACGACGGGUAGCCGGCCUGAGAGGGUGACCGGCCACACUGGGACUGAGACACGGCCCAGACUCCUACGGGAGGCAGCAGUGGGGAAUAUUGCACAAUGGGCGAAAGCCUGAUGCAGCGACGCCGCGUGAGGGAUGACGGCCUUCGGGUUGUAAACCUCUUUCAGUAGGGAAGAAGCGAAAGUGACGGUACCUGCAGAAGAAGCGCCGGCUAACUA
rnacentral:rRNA from 6 species